AGUGAGGGGUCCCUGGGUAACUGGCUGCCCCACCCCAGAGGUGGCUGCAUCUCAGUGCCGGGUGAGGGGUCCCUGGGUAACCGGCCGCCCCGCCCCAGAGGUGUCUGCAUCUCAGUGCCGGGUGAGGGGUCCCUGGGUAACCGGCCGCCCCGCCCCAGAGGUGGGCGCAUCUCAGCACCGGGCUAGGGGUCCCUGGGUAACCGGCCGCCCUGCCCCAGAGGUGGGCGCAUCUCAGCGCCGGGUGAGGGGUCCCUGGGUAACCAGCCGCCCUGCCCCAGAGGUGGCUGCAUCUCAGCGCCAGGUGAGGGGUCCCUGGGUAACCGGCCGCCCUGCCCCAGAGGUGGCUGCAUCUCAGCGCUGGGCGAGGGGUCCCUGGGUAACCGGCCGCCCCACCCCAGAGGUGGCUGCAUCUCAGCGCUGGGUGAGGGGUCCCUGGGUAACCGGCCGCCCUACCCCA